UUGUGGGCCCAAGUCAGGCGAGGCCACCCGCC
rnacentral:rRNA from 1 species